rnacentral:rRNA from 1 species
CUGCUGCCUCCCGUAGGAGUCUGGGCCGUGUCUCAGUCCCAGUGUGGCCGUCCGCCCUCUCAGGUCGGCUACUGAUCGUUGCCUUGGUGAGCCGUUACCUCUCCAACUAGCUAAUCAGACGCGGGUCCAUCUCAUACCACCUCAGUUUUUCACACCAAACCAUGCGGUUUUGUGCGCUUAUGCGGUAUUAGCAGUCAUUUCUAACUGUUAUCCCCCUGUAUGAGGCAGGUUACCCACGCGUUACUCACCCGUCCG